AUGAAUAAUUCUAUGUCUAAAUCAUAUUCUAAAAUGUCUUUUAAUUCUAGUUGUUUCAUGGUUUUAUCUAUCCAAAUUAAUCUUUCUUUUAAUUAUUUUCUUCCUCUUCUAAGAUGGUUUCUAUAAUUAAUUUCUUCGUAUAACCAACUUUGUUUUUCUCUAACUCUUUUAAUAUAUUCUAACAUUUAAUCUAUAUAAUAUCCAUCUGAGUAAUAAUUGUUAUUAUCUGAGUAAUAACUAUCUGAAUAAUAUAAGCUAAGAUCAUGCAUAUCUUUUAACCAUUCUAAACAUAACGAUUCUUCAUGAAAUAUUUUUUCCCAUAUUAUUUUCUUUAUGUCUUCUAUUUGUAAGUCUUUA
rnacentral:lncRNA from 1 species